rnacentral:rRNA from 1 species
GGGCCCGCACAAGCAGUGGAGCAUGUGGUUUAAUUCGAAGAUACGCGCAGAACCUUACCAACGCUUGACAUGUUCGUCGCGAGACUAAGAGAUUAGUUUCUUCAGUUCGGCUGGACGAAACACAGGUGCUGCAUGGCUGUCGUCAGCUCGUGUCGUGAGAUGUUGGGUUAAGUCCCGCAACGAGCGCAACCCCCUACUUUUAGUUGCCACCAUUUAGUUGGGCACUUUAAAAGAACUGCCAGUGAUAAGCUGGAGGAAGGUGGGGAUGACGUCAAGUCCUCAUGGCCCUUAUGUGUUGGGCUACACACGUGCUACAAUGGCACUUACAAUGGGAAGCAAAGAGGCGACUCUAAGCUAAUCCCUAAAAUGUGUCUCAGUUCGGAUUGUACUCUGUAACUCGAGUGCAUGAAGCUGGAAUUGCUAGUAAUCG